rnacentral:rRNA from 1 species
UACGUAGGGUGCGAGCGUUGUCCGGAAUUAUUGGGCGUAAAGAGCUUGUAGGCGGUUUGUCGCGUCUGCCGUGAAAAUCCGGGGCUCAACCCCGGACUUGCGGUGGGUACGGGCAGACUAGAGUGUGGUAGGGGAGACUGGAAUUCCUGGUGUAGCGGUGAAAUGCGCAGAUAUCAGGAGGAACACCGAUGGCGAAGGCAGUGAUCUGGGCCAGUACUGACGCUGAGGAGCGAAAGCGUGGGUAGCAAACAGG